rnacentral:rRNA from 1 species
ACGGGGUGCAGCAGGCGCGAAACCUCUACAAUGCGCGAAAGCGUGAUAGGGGGACUCCAAGUGACACCGUUUGGUGUCUUUUCUCAAGUCUAAAACUCUUGGGGAAUAAGAGCUGGGUAAGACCCGUGCCAGCCGCCGCGGUAAUACGGGCAGCUCUAGUGGCGUUCGCGAAUAUUGGGCCUAAAGCGUGCGUAGCCGGUCCAGCAAGUCCCUGGUGAAAUCCUGCGGCUUAACCGUAGGAAGUGCCAGGGAGACUGCUGGACUUGGGGCCGGGAAGGGUCGGAGGUAUUCCUUGGGUAGGAGUGAAAUCCUGUGAUCCUCGGAGGACCAACGGUGGCGAAGGCGUCCGACUGGAACGGGCCCGACGGUGAGGCACGAAAGCUAGGGGAGCGACCCGGAUUAGAUACCCGGUUAGUCCUAGCCGUAAAUGAUGCAGGUUUGGUGUGACAAUCCUUACGAGGGAUUGUCGUGCCGUAGGGAAGCCGUUAAACCUGCCGCCUGGGGAGUACGGCCGCAAGGCUGAAACUUAAAGGAAUUGGCGGGGGAGUACUACAAGGGGUGGAUGCUGCGGUUUAAUUGGAUACAACGCCGGACAACUCACCAGGGAAGACAGCACUAUGAUGGUCAGCCUGAAGGGCUUACUUGAGGCGCUGAGAAGUGGUGCAUGGCCACCGCCAGCUCGUGCUGUGAAGUGUCCUGUUAAGUCAG